rnacentral:rRNA from 1 species
GAUGAACGCUGGCGGCGUGCCUAAUACAUGCAAGUCGAGCGAACAGACGAGGAGCUUGCUCCUCUGACGUUAGCGGCGGACGGGUGAGUAACACGUGGAUAACCUACCUAUAAGACUGGGAUAACUACGGGAAACCGGAGCUAAUACCGGAUAAUAUAUUGAACCGCAUGGUUCAAUAGUGAAAGACGGUUUUGCUGUCACUUAUAGAUGGAUCCGCGCCGCAUUAGCUAGUUGGUAAGUUAACGGCUUACCAAGGCGACGACGCGUAGCCGACCUGACAGGGUGACCGGCCACAUUGCGACUGAGAGACGGCCCAGACUCCUACGGGAGGCAGCAGUGGGGAAUAAUGCACAAUGGGCGGAAGACUGAUGCAGCAACGCCGCGUGCGGGAUCACGGCCUUCGGGUUGUAAACCACUUUCGCCUGUGACGAAGCGUGAGUGAGGCAAAGGUGUAAAGAAACACGAACUAAGUACGUG